CCGCCUGGGGAGUACGGUCGCAAGGUUGAAACUCAAAGGAAUUGACGGGGGCCCGCCCAAGCGGUGGAGCAUGUGGUUUAAUUCGAGGCAACGCGAAGAACCUUACCAGGCCUUGACAUGUCUGGAAUCCCGAGAGAUGCGGGAGUGCCUUCGGGAAUCAGAACACCGGGGCUGGAUGGCUGUCGUUAGGUUGGGGCGGGGGAUGGUGGGGUAAGUUCCGCAACGGGCGCCACCCCUCUCCUUUGUUGCCAGCCCGUAAGGGUGGGAAUUCAAGGGAGACUGCCGGUGAUAAACCGGAGGAAGGGGGGGAUGACGUCAAGUCAUCAUGGCCCUUACGGCCAGGGCUCCACACGUGCUACAAUGGCGCGUACAGAGGGCGGCAAGCUAGCGAUAGUGAGCGAAUCCCAAAAAGCGCGUCGUAGUCCGGAUCGGAGUCUGCAACUGGACUCCGUGAAGUCGGAAUCGCUAGUAAUCGCAAAUCAGAAUGUUGCGGUGAAUACGUUCCCGGGCCUUGUACACGCCGCCCGUCACACCAUGGGAGUGGGUUGCACCAGAAGUAGGGGCUUAACCUUCGGGAGGGCGUUUACCACGGUGUGAUUCAUGACUGGGGUGAAGUCGUAACAA
rnacentral:rRNA from 1 species